UAUGCCUUCCUCGCUGCCUCCUGGGGGCGCCACAAAGAAAAACGAGUCCACAUCCACAGAGCACGCGAUGCUCCAUUUCUGGAAGGCGGGAAAAGGAAGAAUAAUUUAAAUGGACUGGUAGAGAGUUCCUACUUGCGCAACAACCUCCAGGUGCAAACUGGGAUUUUCAACUUGGACAUGCUUAGAAACAAAAAGAAAGAAACUGACGCAAGAGCUCACCUGAGAUGCAGAAAGCACUUUCAUCUCUUGAAUCAGGCUGGAGCGAGAUCAUGAACUGCCGGCGGGCCCACCUGUCACAUUAAGCCCAAAACAGAUUAUUCCAGAACUGCUGCACCACUCCUGGGGAAACCAUCUGUAACUUGGCGAACAGGAAAUCCAAGAGACACUUUCCAUUGAUUUCACAGAGAGUUGGAUCAGACUCUGCCUUUGCUCAUUUGACGGGUGGGACGAUUUCAUCUUUAAAAAGCAAAUGUUGCUGGUUUAUCCUGUGACCUGAGAUGCAAACCGGGUCUUCUCUGCCACUUACAAUGAGCUCACCCUGGCAUAUAAAUACUCCACUCUAGGGUUUCACUGUUUUGCUGAUGCACAAGGCAGAUAGAAGCCCGCUUGCUUUUCCAAAACUGUGUUGUCUUUGCCGUGUAGAAGAUCUGUCAAAACUUGUUUGGCUCUGUCCCGUCAGGAGAUCUGAAUCAGAGAGACUCUGGGUGGGAGAAGGGAAUUCAGGAGGAAGGUGCAUUUUACAUUGGGAAUGUCAAUACUUUAAACCGAGCUAGGUCUGGCACAAGCCUGCCAGGAAAUCCAGAAUAACCAUGUGCGGGCCUAGCUUGCACAGAGCCCCAUAAUGCUGCAGGCUGGCAGCUCCUGGAAGUGUGCUCACUACAUUAGAGCUAGCUGUGAUAUGUCUACACAAGCUGCAAUCCACAGCCUAUUCCUUUUUCUGACCGCAGCCACACUUGACAG